AGGAAGCAGGAAAUCCUUUUCCUCUCACGUUUACAUCCCAUUCAUUCUUCCUCCGGGCAAUUCAAGUCCAUUCACAGCCGCCACAGAUGCACGUGUGCACGCGCGCAGCUGCACCUUUAAAGAAACUCUCAAGUCCUGGCGGCCAGAAAACCAGCUUUCAGGCGGGGCGGUGGGGCUCCCCCUCCCCUUGCUUCGUCUCUGCAGAUCUUUGUGCUCUAGGGAGGGAUGGCCGCACAUUCUGACGAGGACGAGGGUGGUGCAUAACGCGGAGGUCAAUUUUGCACAGUCCAGGCAAAAGAGACCCCCCCCCCCCACCAACAUCCCUUCCUGUUCAGUUUCCCUCUCUGGCCCAGCGCGAAGGGCGAGGGGCGACAGAAGCCCGAGGGACAGAAAACCGAGGCUCCUCAGUGGCCGAGUUGGGAGAGAGUGUGAGUCCAGGAGAGCCCGGGGGCAGCAGGGAGAGGGUGCAGAAGCUCGAGCGCACCGAGCCAGAGGCCCCCUCUUCUCCCGCCACGCGGGGCUGGAGGUGCAGGCGCCGGUUCCGCGGCGUGGCCCGGCUAUGUGUCGCUCCUCCGCGCGCCGCCCGCCGCAGCCCGUGCCCUCGGGCCGCCGCCGCCGCCGCUGCCCCCCGUCGAGCCCGCGGCCGCACCCUCGGGCCGAUACUUGAGCCAGCAGAUGACCCAGGUGACAACGACCGAGAAGAGUGCCAGGAUGCUGGCCACCGACAGGCAGAUGGGCCCCACGGGCGAGGGCGAGGGCGACCCGGUGGCCGGUGCCUCGCCAGGGGGCGCCCCGCCUCCGGGGGUUCCCCCGCCGCCGUAGUGGUUGACGAAGAUGAGGCCGGUGAAGAGCAGCACCACCAUGGAGAGGAAGGAGAAGACCACGCACACGCAGCCAGCGUUUCUCUGCAGAAGACAGCAAGAUGCCCCAGGGAAUGUUUGUGAAAAAGGAUGACUGGAUGGGAAGCAAGCUGAAGAAAAAGAAGGAAAGAAAGAGAGAAAUCAGUAAAUCACCACACAAGAGGUGGAGAAGAGGACUUAUAAAUAUUGUUUCUAUGACAUUUGAAAAUAAAUGUUUUACUCCAUGCUAAUAGUGAAUGUGAUGUCUUCAGUUUGAAGGGCUUUAAGUGAAGCUCAUUAAAACCCACUAUUUUCCAAAAAAAAAAAAAAAAAAA
rnacentral:lncRNA from 1 species